CUUCUUCCCCCAUCGGUCGCUGAGGGAGAAUGAAUGUUCAUUAAGACACCUGCUGAAUGAAGGAAACAUUCUGAAGGCGAAAAUGUGAUGAAAAGUUGACACUCGCCAGUCGUCAUCUUGACAAAUGUACACACUGCCAGCGGCCAGGAAGCAGGAACAUCCACUUUUAGAGAGAGGAGAGGGUACAUUUAGGGCCCGAAUGAAGAAUGACCCCAGAAGAUGAGCUACACAAAUGGCUGAAAGACUUUGAAACAUCCUCCCAGCUAACUUGGAGGAAGUUAUACGUGAUCCAAACACUGGAUGUCCGGACGCCUUCAGGGGUGGAUGCUGGAAGGUGUCGUGCAUUAAUGGGGAAACCUUCAACGCUCCUUGUGAAGGAACAGGAACCCAAUUAACCGCAGGUGUGAUUAGAGUGCCCCUCACUCAUGACCUUUGACCUCAGCACGAUGAGCUGUGAACCACUCUGAAGAUAAUGAGUUUCUUUUCAUUACAAACAUAUGACUAACCCUCAAUUUUCUACACCCCUUGUGCUCAAAAUUGAAGUUGAAAAACAGAAUCAUCUAUGGUUAUCAUCACACCUGUCCUCUCUUUCUGUGGAGUGUCACGCGGGGACCCUUGAAAAGAUCUGUUUGGGAAGGCGUGCCUUUAAAAGUCUCACAAUGCUUUAGUGGUCAUGUGACCAGGAUGAAGUAUGUUUGUGUGAUGAUAA